rnacentral:rRNA from 1 species
GAGGAAUAUUGCGCAAUGGACGAAAGUCUGACGCAGCCAUGCCGCGUGAAGGAUGACUGCCCUAUGGGUUGUAAACUUCUUUUAUAUACCAAGAAACCUUAGGACGUGUCCUGAGCUGACGGUAGUAUAUGAAUAAGCACCGGCUAACUCCGUGCCAGCAGCCGCGGUAAUACGGAGGGUGCAAGCGUUAUCCGGAUUUAUUGGGUUUAAAGGGUCCGUAGGUGGACCAUUAAGUCAGAGGUGAAAGCCCGCGGCUCAACCGCGGAACUGCCUUUGAUACUGGUGGUCUUGAGUGUGCUCGAAGUUGGCGGAAUAUGACAUGUAGCGGUGAAAUGCUUAGAUAUGUCAUAGAACACCGAUUGCGAAGGCAGCCAACUAGGUCACAACUGACACUGAGGGACGAAAGCGUGGGGAGCGAACAGG